rnacentral:lncRNA from 1 species
CUGUGAGGUCCUCUUUAAUGCUGGACUUAGUCAGGCUGAUCCCAGGGAUGAGUAUCAUAGUUAUCCACCCUUCUCACUUCUUUCAUUUAUGCUUUUGACCAAGGUUGAUUAUUUGUAGAGAUGAGGCCUGAGGACAUCACCAAAAUAAAGUGGAACCUUCCGAAGAAGAGGAAGGCUCCGAUGCUUGAAGGCACCUCUAAGAAGCCAGUGGUCUGUCGAGAAAAGGUUGUGGACGAGCGGGUCUUGGUAACCGAGGUCACAUUGUGUGCUGGCGAUUCCUACUCCCCCGAGUCCAUCUUCGUCGACUAUGGCUCCAACUUCCAUGGUCAUUCUAGUGUUAGUGUCUCCACCACCCAUGGCUCCCCUGCUAGUUUCCCUG